rnacentral:rRNA from 1 species
GAGACAGCAGCCGCCGCGGUAAUACGAAGGGUGCAAGCGUUACUCGGAAUUACUGGGCGUAAAGCGUGCGUAGGUGGUGGUUUAAGUCCGUUGUGAAAGCCCUGGGCUCAACCUGGGAAUGGCAGUGGAUACUGGCAAGCUAGAGUGUGUCAGAGGAUGGUGGAAUUCCCGGUGUAGCGGUGAAAUGCGUAGAGAUCGGGAGGAACAUCAGUGGCGAAGGCGGCCAUCUGGGACAACACUGACGCUGAGGCACGAAAGCGUGGGGAGCAAACAGGAUUAGAUACCCCUGUAGUCCCUGUCUCUUAUAC